UUCAGGGAAAUACCGUUGCGCAAAAUAGUCAUCAUCAUUAAAUAUCUUCCGCAAUGUGUCAAGUCUUGUCCUUCAAGAGUCGCAAGACCACAUGGUCUUGAUAAAACUCACGAAUCACGCCACAUUUGAAAGCUGUUAAUCAUCGGGGGUUUGAUCGGACUCAGUCCCUUGGAAUACCUCUGGAUUCGAGAGAGAUAGCAACAUUUUCCGUAGGACCUUUUUUAUGGAAGGGGAUCAGAUCUACAAAAAAGAUAAUUAUACAAAUUUCGAUAUUUCUCUUUAAUACAGAGAUAUUCCUGAAAAUGGGAUGGAGCAAUUAAAUCGAUUUACGAAUCGAUCUUUUAUUUCACCGUGUUUUUGGGGAAUUUCUGGAAAUCCGAAGGAGAUAGCGAAAUUUCGAUUGGAAUCUUUUUCGUGGAGUGGAAUGAGUUCUACAAAAAAGGUUAUAAUGUGAAUUUCGGUAUAUCCUCUAGAUCCGGAGAUAUUCAGUGCCAUAGGUGAAUGGACGUGUGAAUGUGAGAUUUGAAUGGCGUCCAUUUGGCCUAGAAUAAUCGGUUUUCCUGGAGGGGACAAGAGCAUCUCCGAGAGAGGAAUUCGUCUCUUUCAAACUCAACAUGUAACACCGUGAUGUCCCUUA